rnacentral:tRNA from 1 species
GUGACGGAGGCCGAAGUGGUCGAGGCAGCUGAUCGUGAGUCAGCGGGAAGCGGGUUCGAGUCCCGUCCGUCACC